rfam:Haemonchus contortus, ISE/inbred ISE, WGS project CAVP01000000 data, contig: Hcontortus_31212
GGCCCCAAUCUGAAGUAAGGUAGAUUGUUGAGGUCAGCUGAUCCUACUGUUCUACUAAACUUCGAAAUUGGGCCC